AUUGAACGCUGGCGGCAGGCCUAACACAUGCAAGUCGAGCGGAGCGGCGGACGGGUGAGUAAUGCCUAGGAAUCUGCAUGGUAGUGGUGGAUAACGUCCGGAAACGGACACUAAUACCGCAUACUAUCAGAUGAGCCUAGGUCGGGUUAGCUAGUUGGUGGGGAAAAGGCCUACCAAGGCGACGACCCGUAACUGGGCUGAGAGGAUGAUCAGUCACCCUGGAACUGAGACACGGGCCAGCCUCCUCCGGGAGGAAGCAGUGGGGAAUAUGGGACAAUGGGCGAAAGCCUGAUCCAGCCAUGCCGCGUGUGUGAAGAAGGUCUUCGGAUUGUAAAGCACUUUAAGUUGGGAGGCGUUACCAACAGAAUAAGCACCGGCUAACUUCGUGCCAGCAGCCGCGUAAUUC
rnacentral:rRNA from 1 species